rnacentral:rRNA from 1 species
AGUGAACGCUGGCGGUAGGCCUAACACAUGCAAGUCGAACGGCAGCACAGUAAGAGCUUGCUCUUACGGGUGGCGAGUGGCGGACGGGUGAGGAAUACAUCGGAAUCUACUUUUUCGUGGGGGAUAACGUAGGGAAACUUACGCUAAUACCGCAUACGACCUACGGGUGAAAGCAGGGGAUCUUCGGACCUUGCGCGAUUGAAUGAGCCGAUGUCGGAUUAGCUAGUUGGCGGGGUAAAGGCCCACCAAGGCGACGAUCCGUAGCUGGUCUGAGAGUGUGAUCCGCCACACUGGAACUGAGACACGUUCCAGACUCCUACGGGAGGCAACGGUGGGGAAUAUUGGACAAUGGGCGCAAGCCUGAUCCAGCCAUACCGCGUGGGUGAUGAAGGCCUUCGGGUUGUAAAGCCCUUUUGUUGGGAAAGAAAAGCAGCAGGUUAAUACCGCGCUGUUCUGACGGUACCCAAAGAAUAAGCACCGGCUAACUUCGUG